GUGAGGCCUCCGCGCUGAGUGGGCGGCCUCCUUGGACGAGGGGCGGGGCCCGUACCGGAACUCCAGGGGAAGGGGCGUGGCCGGCCGUUGCCUAGGAAGGGCGCGUGGUCUUGCUGCUCGCCCGGCUGCCUGGAGUAAAGGGGUUCCGCUGCAUUUUGUCACUACUGCGGAGUCUACGCCUUCCUGAGAACCAGGCCAGAAACAGAAGUAUUAUUUUGUUGCCAGCAGAAGCCAGGACUCUGGAACAUUGUUUGCUGCCUGUGGAUCUUCGAUAUCAGAAAGUCCAGUAGCUGCACAGUUGCUUCAGAG